rnacentral:rRNA from 1 species
CAGCCGCCGCGGGAAUACGAAGGGGGCUAGCGUUGCUCGGAAUGACUGGGCGUAAAGGGCGCGUAGGCGGAUGGCACAGUCAGAUGUGAAAUUCCCGGGCUUAACCUGGGGGCUGCAUUUGAUACGUGUUGUCUAGAGUGAGGAAGAGGGUCGUGGAAUUCCCAGUGUAGAGGUGAAAUUCGUAGAUAUUGGGAAGAACACCAGUGGCGAAGGCGACUCUCUGGUCUGUAACUGACGCUGAGGAGCGAAAGCUAGGGGAGCAAAUGGGAUUAGAUACCCCUGUAGUCCCUGUCUCUUAUAC